rnacentral:rRNA from 1 species
CAAUAGCGUAUAUUAAAGUUGUUGCGGUUAAAAAGCUCGUAGUUGGAUUUCUGUUGAGAACAGCCGGUCCGCAUUUUGUGCGUGCAUCUGGUUUGAACUCGGCAUCCUUUCCAGGAACGUAUCUGCGAUUCAGUUCGUGGUGCGGUACUGGAAACUUUUACUUUGAGGAAAUUAGAGUGUUCACGGCAGGCAAUCGCCUUGAAUAUAUUAGCAUGGAAUAAUAAUAUAGGAUCUUGGGUCUAUUUUGUUGGUUUCUAGAGCUGAGGUAAUGAUUAAUAGGGAUAAUUGGGGCGAUUUGUAUUAACGCGUCAGAGGUGGAAUUCUUGGAUUGCGUUACGACAAACUACUGCGAAAGCAUUUUGCCAAGGAUGUUUUCAUUGAUCAAGAACGAAAGUAUGGGGAUCGAAGACGAUCAGAU